AAGCCCCCCUCAAGAUGAGAUUUCCCAUAGCGCAAGCUAGUAAGAUCCCUGAAAGAUGAUCAGGUUGAUAGGUCAGAGGUGGAAGCGUGGCGACACGUGUAGCUGACUGAUACUAAUCGAUCGAGGACUUAACCAA
rnacentral:rRNA from 1 species